rnacentral:rRNA from 1 species
GACGAACGCUGGCGGUGUGCUUAACACAUGCAAGUGGUGCGACGAACCAGAGCUUGCUCUGGGGCAAAGCCGCGAACGGGUGAGUAACACGUGGGUAAUCUACCCCGAUGACCGGGACAACCCGAGGAAACUCGGGCUAAUACCGGAUGUGGUGCGGAGACAUAAGUCUCUUCACUAAAGGUAGCUUCGGCUUCCGCAUUGGGAGGGGCCCGCGGCCCAUUAGCUUGUUGGCGGGGUCAAGGCCUACCAAGGCAACGAUGGGUAGCUGGUCUGAGAGGACGAUCAGCCACACUGGGACUGAGACACGGCCCAGACUCCUACGGGAGGCAGCAGUGGGGAAUCUUGCGCAAUGCGCGAAAGCGUGACGCAGCAACACCGCGUGAGGGAAGAAGGCCUUAGGGUUGUAAACCUCUUUCAGAUGGGACGAAGGUUCUCCGGUGAAUAGCCGAGAGGAUUGACGGUACCGUCAGAAGAAGCUCCGGCUAACUACGUG